rnacentral:rRNA from 1 species
AAAGCCUGAUGCAGCAACGCCGCGUGAGUGAUGAAGGCCUUCGGGUCGUAAAACUCUGUCCUCAAGGAAGAUAAUGACGGUACUUGAGGAGGAAGCCCCGGCUAACUACGUGCCAGCAGCCGCGGUAAUACGUAGGGGGCUAGCGUUAUCCGGAUUUACUGGGCGUAAAGGGUGCGUAGGCGGUCUUUCAAGUCAGGAGUGAAAGGCUACGGCUCAACCGUAGUAAGCUCUUGAAACUGGGAGACUUGAGUGCAGGAGAGGAGAGUGGAAUUCCUAGU